rnacentral:rRNA from 1 species
AGAUUGAACGCUGGCGGCAUGCCUAACACAUGCAAGUCGAACGGCAGCGCGGGGGCAACCCUGGCGGCGAGUGGCGGACGGGUGAGGAAUACAUAGGAAUCUACCCUGUCGUGGGGGAUAACGUAGGGAAACUUACGCUAAUACCGCAUACGACCGAGAGGUGAAAGCGGCGGACCGCAAGGUGUCGCGCGGCUGGAUGAGCCUAUGUCCGAUUAGCUAGUUGGCGGGGUAANAGCCCACCAAGGCGACGAUCGGUAGCUGGUCUGAGAGGAUGAUCAGCCACACUGGGACUGAGACACGGCCCAGACUCCUACGGGAGGCAGCAGUGGGGGAAUAUUGGGACAAUGGGCGAAUGCCUGAUCCAGCCAUGCCGCGUGAGUGAUG